UCACUCCAGGAGCUCAGCUGGGGGACGGCUCUGUUCCAGACCUUGUCAGGUCCCGAGGGUGCUCAGCACCAUCCCGGGGGUGCAGGAUGAAUGCCGAGGGUGCUCAGCACCAUCCCGAGAGUGCUGAGCACCAUCCCGAGGGUGCAGGACCAUCCCGAGGGUGCAGCACCAUCCCGAGGGUGCUCAGCACCAUCCCGAGGUACUCAGCACCUCACCACUCCCUCUUCAGAGCCCCAAAAAAGGGAUGGGUUAUCAGGAAAAAAGGGGUUUAAGCUGAGGGAAAAAGCUUCCUUUUCCACAAUUGCCUGUGUUCAAAUUGAAGAGGAAUCCACUUUCCCUGCAAUUUUAAUAGUCUCAAUGGGAGCAUUUCAAGGGUUUAAAGCUGCAUUUCAGGGCACUUCUACCCACACCCUGGCACCAAAUAUCUGCGACGGGAGCGAGGCCAGCAGGAGAAUUUCCAGAAGUUCUAGGUCACAUCAAGUGCGAUACUUCAGAUUCUCUCAGCAGAUUCAUCGUAACACAAAAGGGAACCGCCCCCGCAGCAGCUUUCCUUAG
rnacentral:lncRNA from 1 species